AGAGUUUGAUCAUGGCUCAGGACGAACGCUGGCGGCGUGCCUAAUACAUGCAAGUCGAACGAACGGAUUGAGGAGCUUGCUCUUCAAGAAGUUAGUGGCGGACGGGUGAGUAACACGUGGGUAACCUGCCCUUCAGCGGGGGAUAACAUCCGGAAACGGGUGCUAAUACCGCAUAGUUUCUUUUUCCGCCUGGAAGAAGAAGGAAAGAUGGCCUUUGUGCUAUCACUGAGGGAUGGACCCGCGGCGUAUUAGUUAGUUGGUGGGGUAAUGGCCUACCAAGACGAUGAUACGUAGCCGACCUGAGAGGGUGAUCGGCCACAUUGGGACUGAGACACGGCCCAAACUCCUACGGGAGGCAGCAGUAGGGAAUCUUCCGCAAUGGACGAAAGUCUGACGGAGCAACGCCGCGUGAGUGAAGAAGGUUUUCGGAUCGUAAAACUCUGUUGUCGGAGAAGAACAAGUAGGAGAGUAACUGUUCCUACCUUGACGGUACCCGACCAGAAAGCCACGGCUAACUACGUGCCAGCAGCCGCGGUAAUACGUAGGUGGCAAGCGUUGUCCGGAUUUAUUGGGCGUAAAGCGAGCGCAGGUGGUUUCUUAAGUCUGAUGUGAAAGCCCACGGCCCAACCGUGGAAGGUCAUUGGAAACUGGGGAACUUGAAUGCAGAAGAGGAGAGUGGAAUUCCAUGUGUAGCGGUGAAAUGCGUAGAUAUAUGGAGGAACACCAGUGGCGAAGGCGACUCUCUGGUCUGUUAUUGACACUGAGGGCUCGAAAGCGUGGGGAGCAAACAGGAUUAGAUACCCUGGGUAGUCCACGCCGGUAAACGAUGAGUGCUAAAUGUUGGAGGGCUUCCACCCUUCAGU
rnacentral:rRNA from 1 species